UACGUAGGUGUCGAGCGUUGUCCGGAUUUAUUGGGCGUAAAGCGCCCGCAGGCGGCUUGGCAAGUUCGAGGUGAAAUCUCCCGGCUCAACUGGGAGGGUGCCUCGGAAACUGCCAGGCUUGAGGCAGGGAGAGGGAUGUGGAAUUCCCGGUGUAGUGGUGAAAUGCGUAGAUAUCUGCAGGAACACCCGUGGCGAAAGCGGCGCGCUGGACCACUACUGACGCUGAGGAACGAAAGCUAGGGGAGCAAACAGG
rnacentral:rRNA from 1 species